rnacentral:tRNA from 1 species
UAAAAGAUAAGCUAAGUAAAGCUGAUGGGUUCAUACCCCGUAAAUGAGUAAUUUCUCUCUUUUAA